AUUGAACGCUGGCGGCAGGCUUAACACAUGCAAGUCGAGCGGAGUGAUGGUGCUUGCACUAUCACUUAGCGGCGGACGGGUGAGUAAUGCUUAGGAAUCUGCCUAUUAGUGGGGGACAACAUCUCGAAAGGGAUGCUAAUACCGCAUACGUCCUACGGGAGAAAGCAGGGGAUCACUUGUGACCUUGCGCUAAUAGAUGAGCCUAAGUCGGAUUAGCUAGUUGGUGGGGUAAAGGCCUACCAAGGCGACGAUCUGUAGCGGGUCGGAGAGGAUGAUCCGCCACACUGGGACUGAGACACGGCCCAGACUCCUACGGGAGGCAGCAGUGGGGAAAAUUGGACAAUGGGGGGAACCCUGAUCCAGCCAUGCCGCGUGUGUGAAGAAGGCCUUAUGGUUGUAAAGCACUUUAAGCGAGGAGGAGGCUCUUUUGGUUAAUACCCAAGAUGAGUGGACGUUACUCGCAGAAUAAGCACCGGCUAACUCUGUGCCAGCCGCCGCAGUAA
rnacentral:rRNA from 1 species